rnacentral:lncRNA from 1 species
AAUCACUCUGGCAACGUGUGAACGCCUUCUGCUCACAGAGGGGGCUGCAUCGCCCCAUGCUUUCUUAAUGGCUGUUUAAUAAACAGCAGGGUACCGGGAAACAAGCUUAGGAGGAGCUGGGGAAAGAGGGCCCUGCUGUGCAGCUCAGGUGCUCCUGAAUUGGGGGCUGAGGACCUGGCAGUGCCACACAGCCACGCUGACACUGAAGAGGCAGCAUCAGGCCGAUGCCAGAGGAAAGGAAGUGUGGCCAGCUUGCACCCUGGGGAGCAGGAGGCUGCCUUGGGUGGCAUCAUGGAAAAGUGGACGGACAGGCUGUAUGAGGGCUGGUGCUGCGUGCAUAAACCCUGAUCACAGCGACACUGCUCCACGGUCUGUCCGUCCCCUGGUCACGGGCACCCACACGCAGACUUGCUGGGGAACCAGCCACCUCCUUCCAGGAGGACCGCCAGCCUGUGAGACGGGCUCCAACAUUCCCAAGCUCUGCUUGUCCUGUCCUGGCCGCAGAACCCUUGCCUGGGCCCUCCCUGGACUCUGACACCUGCCUAGAGGGAAAGAAGACGACCAUUCGGGGUGCAGAGGCACCCAGGCACACCACCCUCAGAACAAUGUGCCCCACGUCUCCAGAGGCUCUCAGUUCCUGAUGAAAUGUAGAUGAAAGUCAGAGCCCAUGACUCCAAUCCAAACAGACACAGAAAGAGCCCAUAGCACGUGAAGUCUAACGUACCAGAGGGCACAGGGCUAUGUUAGAGUAAAUGUGUAAAAUACAUGCAUUCACC